rnacentral:rRNA from 1 species
UACGUAGGGUGCAAGCGUUAAUCGGAAUUACUGGGCGUAAAGCGUGCGCAGGCGGCUUUGCAAGACAGCUGUGAAAUCCCCGGGCUUAACCUGGGAACUGCAUUUGUGACUGCAUGGCUGGAGUGCGGCAGAGGGGGAUGGAAUUCCGCGUGUAGCAGUGAAAUGCGUAGAUAUGCGGAGGAACACCGAUGGCGAAGGCAAUCCCCUGGGCCUGCACUGACGCUCAUGCACGAAAGCGUGGGGAGCAAACAGG